UCUCCGUAGGUGAACCUGCGGAGGGAUCAUUACUGAGUGAGGGCCUUCGGGCUCGACCUCCAACCCUUUGUGAACACAACUUGUUGCUUCGGGGGCGACCCUGCCGUCCGCGGCUGAGCGCCCCCGGAGGCCAUUAAACACUGCAUCAUUGCGUCGGAGUUAAAGUAAAUUAAACAAAACUUUCAACAACGGAUCUCUUGGUUCCAGCAUCGAUGAAGAACGCAGC
rnacentral:misc_RNA from 1 species